UAACAAAGAAAAGUUCCCCUGUGAUUCCUAAUAGUUUUCAGUCAUUUGGUAUUGGCUUAUCAAUAACUAGACCUAACUUUAACGUGGAUCGCCUCAUGUUUCCUUUUGCAAAUAGUUGGAUUGGCUAGUGACAUGGUUUGUGAGACAGCAAAGAUUUGGAGGAAAAUUCAUUGCUCUGAAGUUGCUGAACGAGCUCAUAAAUACAUGCACUUUACUGACUCACUGAAGAUUCGCUGCCUUAGGAAGACACAAAAGAAUCAUAAUUUGCAAGCCUAACAGCUUGCAUUGAAAUUUCAACAAAGGAUUCUGGAGGAAUCUUUAUAGAUUCUUGAACAUUCUUUGGGUAAUAAAAUAAGGCAGAGUUGACACUUUGGACUUGAAGAGACUUCUUCAAUAAUCUCAAAUAUGGGAAUUCUUUUAUCCGGCUCAAAACAUUCGCUAAGUAUAGCUAUCAUUAGGGAAUGAAAAUGAAGUAAUUUCUUUCUUUCUUUGUGUGUGUGUGUGUGUGUGUAAGCAUAAUUUUAUUUUUUUCAGUGUUAGGUUCAGGUGUACAGUAUAGUGAUUCAACAAUUCCUGUAAUGGACUGUUUUCUUAAAAAAUUUGAAAUACAAUCUUAUUUCCCUAAACUUUCAAAGAAAUCAAUAAUGCCAUUUUGAUAAUGUGAAUAGUUAUAGACAACUUCACUGUUAAAAAAAUUCAGAGCAUGAGUGUCUUGUGUGUAUGUAUAUAUAUGUGUGUGUGACUUUAAACUUAAGUGAAAAUUUU